rnacentral:rRNA from 1 species
UACGUAGGGGGCAAGCGUUGUCCGGAUUUAUUGGGCGUAAAGAGCGUGUAGGCGGCCAUUCAGGUCAGCUGUGAAAACUCGAGGCUCAACCUCGAGACGUCGGUUGAAACCGUUUGGCUAGAGUCCGGAAGAGGAGAGUGGAAUUCCCGGUGUAGCGGUGAAAUGCGCAGGUAUCGGGAAGAACACCCGUGGCGAAGGCGGCUCGCUGGGACGUGACUGACGCUGAGACGCGAAAGCGUGGGGAGCAAACAGG